GUGGGGAAUUUUGGACAAUGGGCGCAAGCCUGAUCCAGCAAUGCCGCGUGCAGGAAGAAGGCCUUCGGGUUGUAAACUGCUUUUGUACGGAACGAAACGGUCCGGGUUAAUACCCUGGGCUAAUGACGGUACCGUAAGAAUAAGCACCGGCUAACUACGUGCCAGCAGCCGCGGUAAUACGUAGGGUGCAAGCGUUAAUCGGAAUUACUGGGCGUAAAGCGUGCGCAGGCGGUUUUGUAAGACAGGCGUGAAAUCCCCGGGCUCAACCUGGGAAUUGGGCUUGAGACUGCAAGGCUGGAGUGCGGCAGAGGGGGAUGGAAUUCCGCGUGUAGCAGUGAAAUGCGUAGAUAUGCGGAGGAACACCGAUGGCGAAGGCAAUCCCCUGGGCCUGCACUGACGCUCAUGCACGAAAGCGUGGGGAGCAAACAGGAUUAGAUACCCGGGUAGUCC
rnacentral:rRNA from 1 species